AUGGAAUAGAGUUCAUCUCCAAAGAGAGAAAAAAAAUUAAAAGAUAGUUUUAUCUCAAUGGGUUUCAAGAGAGGGUCAAUCUUUUUAAGCUUUAUGCUUCUUCUCCUUUUUCAUAUGGCAACAGGAAGACUCAUCCAAAACACUUUACCUUAUGCAGAUUUUGAGAAGAUUGAUAUGAGUGAGAUCAAGAAUAUGGUGGGAAGUAAAUUCUUGAACUCCGCUCGGCCUAGAGGUGGCAACUAUAUUAACAACCCGGAGGCGACGAAGAAGGCCGCCAUCCGAGGCGCUAGCUACCGGCCAUAACGGCUUAGAAAACUAGAUAUGAUGUAAUAUCCACCGCCUUAGAGGAAAUUAUUAUUAGUGUUAAGAAUGUGUUACCGAUCAAGUUGUGUGGGGGAAGAAUUAUGAAUAAAUUAGGGUUUGGAAGUUAAAUUGUUGAGUUUCUAUUGUGAAAGUGUCUGUAAAAGAGUGUUUUGAUGGUACGUUUUCUAGCAAUCGAAGUGUAUGUUUCUUAAUGUGGUGAAGAUUUUGGAGUGUUGAAAUAAGACAAGUUUUGAUUAUGGCUUUGUGUGAGAGAGAAAAAUAAAUUUGAGUAAUGUUAUU